rnacentral:lncRNA from 1 species
UCUGGUACCAUAGUUAGAUAAUGCUUUGGAGCCCAUGCUCUUCUCUCUCCUCCAACAUGACCAGACUCAAUCGUUGCCUCUUUAAUUGCUUCUGCAAGACAAUGUGACAGGAAAGCUAUCCCAGCACACAGUGAUUGGUGUCUUAACAUCAGGAAUACACCAGAGGGAGUAGUGGGAUAAGUUAUGGAUUACAAGAAGCUCCAGAGUCACCAUCCCACUGGAAAUUCCUCCCUUCUUUGUUCCUUCACAACUUGAAUGCAAGACUAAUAAGAGAGGAACAGUGAGGAAAGACCUCAAAGAAAAUGUGUAGAAGGCAGAGAAAAAGAGUGUCCCUGGGGGAGCAGAAUUGUUCUUGACAAAGCAACAAAGAAGGGUGUUCCAACACAAUUACAGUGCUCUGGGCUCUCUCCCCCAAAGUGACAGCAUCUUCCAGGGCUUGGGCUUUGUUCCCAACAUGUAAUACCAGUUACUAGCCAACUGAGUUGAUUCCAUUAGAGGAAUACAUCAUCAAAGGCAAAGCUGACAUGACAUAGCUCCAAGGUGCUCACUAGUGAUCAAGGAACAAUGAUAAAAGGAGAGAGGAAAGAGAGGAGGAACUGAGACUAAGGAAGGAAGAAGAGUUGGAAAAACAUAAGACAAUUAAGAAAAAAAAGGGAGAGAUGCGCAAACGGUAGGUAGAUGAAUAAAACAUGGGGACAGACUUAAAGAAGGGUAGAUUAACGGAGGCAUUAAAAAGGAAGAGAAAAAUAUUGAGGAGGAAAAGAAAAAGCAAAGAUGGAGAAAUAUCUUGGCUUUAUCUAAAGUGAGAAGAUUAUUACAAUUAAUUUUCUCUCUUCACUUCUUUCUGUUCAGUAAAACCUUGGGCAUAAGCAUACACCAUCACCAAUUAUCAAUACACAUUGAAGUAUUAAUUUACUUUUCAAGAAUUUUAAAAAGACAAUUUCUACUCAGAGAAUUAUAUGAUAUACUUUUAUAUUUAAAUGUAUCAUUUAAUUUUAGGUAAAAUCUUACUUUCUGUUGAAAUUCUAAAAAGUUUACAUUGAUGUAUGACUGACUAAGUAUAUGUUUUUAAAAAUAAAUGAUUUUAAAGGUGAAAAUAACUUUUUAAACUUCACUAUUUCUGUCAUUUACAAACAUAGACUAAAAGUGCUUUUGACAUUUGAAAGUUGUCAGAUUGUCUUAUCCUGUUUUUUAGAUAGAUGAAUGCUACUUAGUUCAUAACUACUGGAGUCUACAUUUAGUAAGUAUUUAUAGCAUUGUACUAAACACUUUUUCUUUCUCAAACAAAAACAAGUUUUAAGUUCGAAUAGGUUUCAAAGUCUGAUAAUAUUCAAUAAGAAUAUUGUGGCAGAUUACUUUAUUUUUCCCAAUUCUUCACCCGUUUCUCUAUCCUAGCCUUCUGCUAUUUCAUUACUGUAUAUAGUUCCUCCAACUAUAGGCAGAAUAUAUUCCCUGUUCUUGCUAAUGCUGGGCUUUACUGGGUUACUUUCUCUAGUCAAUGGGAUAUAAGCAGAAGUGCCCAUUUCAAACCUAUGUCUUGGAGUCAUCAUAUGUUUCUGCUGAUCCUUCUUGAACUUCUGUCACGGCAAGUGCAUUGAUUCAAGGAAGAUGAUAGUCAUGUGAAGUGAAUCUGGAACAAUCUUAAUCUUAGAGUGCAAUCCACCUAAAAGCACAACCUAUAUCUACCAAUGCAGCUGAUCCACAGAUCAAGGAAGUAAGAAUAAAUAUGACAUUGAGUUUAGAGAUGGUUUGUUUUAGAGCUCUAUUGUGUUAAUAGCUUACAGAUAUAAAUAAUUACUAACAAUUGCUGUAAUAUAAACCUUAAGUCCAAAAUUCUUAGGUCUACCAAUUUCUGAUCUAGACCCUUUUUAAUUUUACUCUUACUUAAUCUUAAAGUUGACUGCUCAAUUCUGUCCAAAUGUUUCAGCAGUAUGAACCAACUGCAUUUAUAUUCCUCUUGUGAACAAUAAUAACAGAUUAUUGUCAUUUAAUAAUUUUUAAAACCAACAUAUUAAUUAAUUUAUUGAUGGAAGAGUGGGCACACAAAAAGAUCACAUCCAGGUUUGAUGUCUUUAACAGUUCUAAUAUAUUACAAGAAAACAAAGUGAUGAUUUCAAGUUAGAGCAGACCAAAGAGAUGAGAUCGAAAAGAACAGCCUCUCUAAACAAGUUUUUCAAAUAAAAUCUAUCAAGUAAGAUACAACACUUGCAAAAUCCAAUGCUUUAUUGAAUACUAUCAUUUUCACUGUACAGGAACAAAACAAAUAAAUUAUAUUGUUUUUUCAACCCCUUACUACCUGUUCUGUUCAAGCAGAAAGAAGGUUUUCCAGCCUCUGAAUACAACAAUUAUUGCCUAUUGAAUCCAAUCCCAUUGGUUGGUGACUCUCAAUUCUUAAGUUUUCAGUUCUUUUUCUCUGAAAUUUAGAGAUGGGGUCCAAGGGCAAGAGGGAGAAAUGAAAUGUGAAAUUGAGGAUUUUAGAGGUCAGCAUUCCUAAGGGAUGUGGCCAACUGUGUGUGUAUAUAGGUAAAAUUCUGCCUCUUCUUUCCCCAUUUGGCUGUGCUUCAGGCAUGUGUAAAUUCCUGGCCAGGGACCGAACCAGCACCAUCGCAGUGACCCAAGCUGCUGCAGUUACAAUGCCAGAUCCUUAACCCACUGAGAAACAAGAGAAAUCCUUUUUUAUUAAUUUAUUUUUUAUUUUUGGCCAAGUUUUGCCCGUUCUAAAAAUCUUUCAACAAAACUGAUAGAAAAUAGACACAUAAUUUCAUAAACUUUUGAUGCUGAGUCAAUCAGAAGAAAUAAAAUGAAAAUUUUUCCCUGCAAUAUUUUAUGAUUUCAGUGACCUAACUUUAUGACAAAAUUAGUCAUAGGAAGAUAUAUAAAGUUAAAUAUAAAUUGAACACCUGGGUGGAAAAAUGUUUAUAAAUGGCAUCACUGCCUUAACUCCAACAAUGUGAGCAGAACUACUAUAAUCAUGUUCAGUGGUAAUAUGGAACCAUAUGUGGUGAAAUAAAACACAGGACAAAUAUACAAAUACAUCUGCUGCUACAGAUUUUCAGCCUUUUAACACUCUUAGAUGUCUGUUUGGGGUCUGACUCUGACUGUAUCCUACUGUUUUAUGUAUUUUUCUGUAAUUUUGUGAGAUUAACUGAGCCAACUUGCAGAUCUCUGCUAAAUGUUAAUUCUUUUCUCAACUUUCAGAAUGUUGGGACUAGAGCACUCUUUUUCUGAAUGAGUAACCUUCAAAAUCAGACUGCUUUGGUGUCAUCUUAGGUAUUUAAUUAAAUAACUGUUUUAAAGUUCUUUAUUCGUCAAUCCAAUGUAUGGGUGCCCUCAUGGAAAAUUCCUAUUUCCUUCUUUUUCUUUUUUCUUAUUUUUAUUUAUUUAUUUAUGUAGUUAUUUUACUAUGUGUGCAUUACACUUUCAUGUUUAUUUAUAUGUCUUAUAAUCUUUUAAUUGACCACAGAUAUUUUAGAUAAUAUAUUGUGGAAACUUUGGAUACAGAUCCUACCACCCGAUAGCUUAUUGUUUUUAUUGUUUGUUUGUGAAUUUACCUAUAGUAACUUUGCUGAGCUAGUUAAGUGAAUACUAUCUCCCCUGUACUAUGCAUUCUUUGAUGCUUUUCCUCAGAAAGCACAACCUGGGUAGAUGAACAGUGACCUUAACCACCAGGGAUGGCUGUCACUUUAGCCAGGCUCUUUCAGAGUAGCUUUCUUUGAUUUUCCCACUAUGCUUCUGACUGGUCUUCUAUUCAUGAAAUCAAUCUGGUAGUCUCCACUAAUUGGUUUAUGAUCACUAUAUUGUGUUUGAAAAUGUCCUGGGUAUCUAUAAAUUGCUCCAUAGUCUGAUCUAAUUAAAGUUAAACCCUAUUUGCAGAUGCAGGUUGUUGCUAGUCUCUGAAGUUUACUCUGACUGGAGAAGCAUUCAUCUUACCUCUUUCCCUGGUUCUCUUAUUAAACUUCUAGCUGACCUACCAUUAUUCUUGUAGCUAAUAGUAUCAUGGAGCUACCAACCUCUUCUUAAUUACCCAACAACAAAAUGUUGCUUGUUUUUAACAUAACACUUCAAAAUAAACUUUCCCAUGUUCUGUUCCAAAUAAAGGCAUCCCCCUUUUCGACCAAGCUAUAAAAUUCUCUGAUUUUUAAAGUCUGCUUCUUCCACUAGGUAGAGCCUCUGAGCCACUGCAUUGGGGCUGAGGGCAGAGACAGCAGCCUCCUUCUCCUUGUGCAAUAGUAUUUCUCUAAGGACAGUUUGCAGGAUGAGGAUGGUAGCAUUGCUCUUUUAGGCUUGGUUCUUCUAGCAUAAAACCUAUGUGAACAAACUGGGUGGAAACAACUGGAGCCAAAUAUUCUCAAUCAGUUCUUCAGUUGCAACUAAAAUAGAUGUUCUGCUCUAUGAAUGGGAGCUGGAUGACAGAAGAAAGCUCCAGUCCCCUCUUUGUCUAUGCCUGCUUGGAACAAAGCUACUGAGACAUACAGCUGGGAGGUUUGAGAAAUAACUGUGACACAUCCUUCUUGGCAUGAAAUCGUAGUCAUACCUGGGAUCUGGAGGGAGAGUAAGUCUUAUUUUCUUUACCACAUUGACCCAGACCAGAAAUUCUAUUAUACUUAGCUAGAGUGGAGAGGGGAAGAAUGAGAGCGUUAUGGUUCAAAUGCUACAGAGGCUGUUCCUAAUUUAAGUUAGUAGAUUUUCCUGAAAAACAAAACAAAACAAAACAAACUUUAUCCAUUUACUGUAUGCCCUAAGGGCAGUUUCAGACUUUACAUUUUUCAAAAAUAAUUUUUACCAUUUAAAAGGUUUCAAGAGUUCCCACUGUGGCUUAGUGGGUUAAGAGUACAACUGCAGUGGCUCAGGUGGCUGCAGAGGUUCAGGUUUGAUCCUUGGCCCAGCACAGUGGGUUAAGAUUCCGGUAUUGCCACAGCUGUGGCUUGGAUUCAGUCCCCGUCCCAGGAACUUCCAUAUACUGCAGGUGCAAC